CGAUGAUCCCAGCUUGCUGGGGGAUUAGUGGCGAACGGGUGAGUAACACGUGAGUAACCUGCCCUUGACUCUGGGAUAAGCCUGGGAAACUGGGUCUAAUACCGGAUAUGACCUUCCAUCGCAUGGUGGUUGGUGGAAAGCUUUUGUGGUUUUGGAUGGACUCGCGGCCUAUCAGCUUGUUGGUGAGGUAAUGGCUUACCAAGGCGACGACGGGUAGCCGGCCUGAGAGGGUGACCGGCCACACUGGGACUGAGACACGGCCCAGACUCCUACGGGAGGCAGCAGUGGGGAAUAUUGCACAAUGGGCGCAAGCCUGAUGCAGCGACGCCGCGUGAGGGAUGACGGCCUUCGGGUUGUAAACCUCUUUCAGUAGGGAAGAAGCCGCAAGGUGACGGUACCUGCAGAAGAAGCGCCGGCUAACUACGUGCCAGCAGCCGCGGUAAUACGUAGGGCGCAAGCGUUAUCCGGAAUUAUUGGGCGUAAAGAGCUCGUAGGCGGUUUGUCGCGUCUGCCGUGAAAGUCCGGGGCUCAACUCCGGAUCUGCGGUGGGUACGGGCAGACUAGAGUGAUGUAGGGGAGACUGGAAUUCCUGGUGUAGCGGUGAAAUGCGCAGAUAUCAGGAGGAACACCGAUGGCGAAGGCAGGUCUCUGGGCAUUAACUGACGCUGAGGAGCGAAAGCAUGGGGAGCGAACAGGAUUAGAUACCCUGGUAGUCCAUGC
rnacentral:rRNA from 1 species